rnacentral:rRNA from 1 species
GAUGAACGCUAGCGAUAGGCCUAACACAUGCAAGUCGAGGGGCAUCACAUGAGGCAGCAAUGCCGAUGGUGGCGACCGGCGCACGGGUGAGUAACACGUAUGCAACCUGCCUUCAACAAGGGGAUAACCCGUUGAAAAAACGGACUAAUACCCUAUAAUACAGGGGUCCCGCAUGGGGAUAUUUGUUAAAGAUUGAUCGGUUGAAGAUGGGCAUGCGUUCCAUUAGCUGGUUGGUGAGGUAACGGCUCACCAAGGCAACGAUGGAUAGGGGAACUGAGAGGUUUACCCCCACACUGGUACUGAGACACGGACCAGACUCCUACGGGAGGCAGCAGUGAGGAAUAUUGGUCAAUGGACGCAAGUCUGAACCAGCCACGUCGCGUGAAGGAAGACGGCCCUACGGGUUGUAAACUUCUUUUGUAAGGGAAUAAAGUGUAGUACGCGUACUAUUUUGCAUGUACCUUACGAAUAAGGAUCGGCUAACUCCGUGCCAGCAGCCGCGGU